CCGGGGAGGGAGCCCCGAGGAGCAGCGAGCAGCACGGGGUGGGACCGGCCAACCGGAUACUCAGCUUGGACCGUUUUUUACAUUUGUCUUUUAAUGGUUUAAACGUUAACACCGGGGGACACACAGUCUUGUCAGGGGGAACUUGCGGGCUUCGCGUCUCGUCGAAACCUCUGGAGGUGUCAGAAAAAAAAAUUGAUUGAGAGUUAAGGUGUGGCUGAGGGUUUCUGUGAGGCUUGUGCACUGAAAAAUGUUACAAAACUGACUCUUUUUUACCGGAGAGUAGCCGCUCGGGCCUGAGACUCUUCUAUCUUCCAUUGGCUUUUAAGAAUCUGCAGUCAUUUUCAUUACAUAACAAAUGUAUUGCCAUCUUGAUGUGCGCACCUUUUGACUUAAAACGCUUGCAGUAGCCUGCAUUAAUUAGACUAUUACGCAGUAAAGAAGUAAGUCGAGUAAUUUUUUUUUUCUUACUGCUCGCUUUGGUUUCAUAAGUCUGUGCAAUGUAACGGACGUGGCAACUUUACAGUAGCCAGCCCUACUGAAUGCCACAGGCAAACUGGGCGUGGGGGAAACAGCCCGAACAGAGCCUAAUAUUCCUCAAAUCUUACCCAAGCACGGCUAAAUUGCACAUAUUUGACAUGAUAUAACCGUACCGGCAAGUGCCUCGGUGGAACCAGUGGAUUUACCAGAACCAAAUAUCUCCAGGUGCCUACAGUAGAUUCAGAAAGACCGUCUGGUCUUAUAACCAACUUUAGAUCAUGGGACCAGGACGUACUUCCAGGUAUCUACGGACGUGUUAAUUGAUGGAGAUGUGCCACACCCGUGCCACUCGAUCCCCAGUGGCCCCUACCUGUGCCUGUGCCUGUGCCUGUGCCAGCUGCUCUGCCAGCUGUGGGUGAGCAAGGGGAGCAGCGUCACAGAAAGAGACGAACAGACAGCUGCUGCAAACAGAAAGACGGAGGAGCAUCGUCAAAAGAGGAGGACUGAGUCAACCUACACGCCAUCAGUCAUGUUAUAUUUAUUAUUAGCGCACAGUCAUUUUACAGCAUAGAACCUAUUAUUAAAUCUAAACCAUUUGGAAUUUGAUUCAAGGCUGUAUAAUUAUCCAGCCUUAAAUCAAAUUCCAAAUGCUGCUGUACACUGCUGUAAGAAAUGUCAGGCAAUGAAUAAAAAAAAUGUUUUCUGUUUAACAAUUUCACUGCAAAGUAAGCUGCAAAUAUUUUGUCUCUUGACAUUCAUCAGUCAUUUUGCAUCCAGCUGGGAGUUCAGCCUCACAUGUUGGGAGCUGGACUACAGCACUUUAGUGUUCCAGGCUCCAGGCUUAUGGACUUAGCUAACACACUUCCUGUUGGAGACAUACAUUAUACUGCCAGGGGGAACAUAAACAAUAAUCUUCUUACGGUGUGAGCUGCUCUGUCAGCUGUAAGCAAGCCCUUACUCCUUACUAGCAAUAUACAGUAUCUGAAGAUACAUAGUGAUUAGUAAUAUAAUGUGGUAAUGUGGUGCAGUCUUCUUCAGUCACCUGGCACUAGGCAUUUAGUCAAACAUUUAAAUGUUGCUUUAGUUUGGACUUAAAUGAUUAGUAUCAUAUAGUCCAGUAUUUGUCUAUGACGACUCGUGAAACUUAAGCUGAGUUUUUGUUGAUUUUUCUUUAGAUUAAUAAUUAAUUUCUGGCUAAACCUGCACUGAUAUUGAGUAUUUAAAUUUACUUUUAAUAGCAGAAAACACUUUUUUACACACAUUUUGACUUGUUGAAGGAAAAGAAGAGGUGUAAUCAAUACCAUUAAAGAUAGCUUUUUUAGAAGUCCCAGCAAACCAUGUCAGUGAGCAAGCAUUCAUAGUACCAGGGCCACUGAAAACUGAAAACACCUGAAUGGUAUGCAGUCAUAAUUAACACUAUUAAUUACACCUGUGCCUUUCCUGCUAUGAUAUGUCAAAACAUCUGCUGUGAAAAGGCAAACUUUUAAAUCUUGCAGUCGUUUCAUCAACAUCAGGCAGGCAUCUGCUGAGGGUUAGUUAGCUCACAAACAGCUCAGCAGGCUAUAAUCUCUCUGAGCUAUUGAAGGGCUGCUUGAACUCAGUGAGAGAUAAAGUCAGAACGAGGCAGAGGAGGAAGAUUAUUUUCUUCAUAUCUGUAAAGACGAACAUAAAUCAUUAAAAAACAUACAGUCAAGUGAAGUCCCAUCAGUCUAUAGUUAAGUAGUUUUAUAUUUAAAAGUCUUGUGGUUUCCGUGUCAUGUCAUCUUGACUUAGUUUUAUAGUUUAUCAGUUUGAAUUAUUGUGUCAUUAAAAGCCAAAGGUUGGAGUAGCGCAUGGACACAGAGGACUCACUGAGAGAGUUUUUCCUCCAAGGAUAGGGUUGCCAGCGCCCUUUGGAGUAUGUAAUACCAGUCACAUCUUUGCACAGCAUGUAUAGACAUCAGGCUGUUGACUUUGACCCGAACCUGUUCUUAGACAAACUUCAUCUGUUCAAAUUAAUCUGGCCCUCACAGAGAAGGUCAGAGAAACUUCCCCACAGUCUUUUCAAGUAGAUAAAUCUAACUCAGCUCUCUCUCUGCUGAGAUUCCUCCGCAGCAUAUCUUUAUAAGAUCUGAUCUAUGUACUUUAUCACUUGAGUCUCAGUGGUGAUUUCAGUGUAAUGCUAAUGGAACGAUGGGGAAUGUGUUUUAGUAUACUUUCAAAUACAAAGUCAGAAUAAAGGACUAAUGGAUAAGAUGCAUAUAUUGUAUAUUUUUGUAAAAUUUGUGCAUGUCAACAUUUUCUGUAGGAAUGAAUAAACUGCAAAUGAGCAGAAUGUUUUUUCAACACUGAA